rnacentral:tRNA from 1 species
UUAAUUGAAGCCAAAACUUUAGAGGCCUCUUAAUGUUAAUAAGAAGAUUGAACUUUAUAUUCCAAUUAAA